rnacentral:rRNA from 1 species
GACGGGGGAUGCAAGCGUUAUCCGGAAUCACUGGGCGUAACGCGUCUGUAGGUGGUGAUGCAAGUCACUGGUGCAAAACUCUGGCUCAACCGGAGGAAAGCCAGUGAAACUGCAUGACUAGAGUGUGGGAGAGGUAGAAGGAAUUCCCUGAGUAGCGGUGAAAUGCGUAGAUACAGGGAAGAACACCGGAGGCGAAAGCGUUCUUCUGGAACACAACUGACACUGAGACACGAAAGCUAGUGGAGCGAAUGGG